rnacentral:misc_RNA from 1 species
AGGAACCCCACCCCAUUCAAAAAUACGAUUCAAGGAUCCAUUUCUCUCAAGUCUCAACUCAUGCAGUCAACACUCGCCGAUUCCCUCACUGUCAUCGCCCCUCAAGCUCGUCGUCCCUCACCCAUCGAGCUCGGAUAGAAUCCUUACCCCUUAAGCUCGCCACUCGUCCUUCGGAUCUCUAGCUUCCUGCUUCUUUUCAGCUCAGAUUUCUUUAACUGGAAAAGGGU